UACGUAGGUGGCAAGCGUUGUCCGGAUUUACUGGGCGUAAAGGAUGCGUAGGCGGACAUUUAAGUCAGAUGUGAAAUACCCGAGCUUAACUUGGGUGCUGCAUUUGAAACUGGGUGUCUAGAGUGCAGGAGAGGUAAGUGGAAUUCCUAGUGUAGCGGUGAAAUGCGUAGAGAUUAGGAAGAACACCAGGUGGCGAAGGCGACUUACUGGACUGUAACUGACGCUGAGGCAUGAAAGCGUGGGGAGCAAACAGG
rnacentral:rRNA from 1 species